rnacentral:rRNA from 1 species
GAUGAACGCUGGCGGCGUGCUUAACACAUGCAAGUCGAACGAUGAAAGCGGGAGCUUGCUCCUGCUGGAUUAGUGGCGAACGGGUGAGUAACACGUGAGUAACCUGCCCCAGACUCUGGGAUAACUCCGGGAAAUCGGAGCUAAUACCGGAUACGAGCUUCAGCCGCAUGGCUAGGAGCUGGAAAGAACUUCGGUCUGGGAUGGACUCGCGGCCUAUCAGCUAGUUGGUGAGGUAACGGCCCACCAAGGCGACGACGGGUAGCCGGCCUGAGAGGGUGACCGGCCACACUGGGACUGAGACACGGCCCAGACUCCUACGGGAGGCAGCAGUGGGGAAUAUUGCACAAUGGGCGCAAGCCUGAUGCAGCAACGCCGCGUGAGGGAAGACGGUCUUCGGAUUGUAAAGCACUUUAAGUCGGGAGGAAGGGCUGUAGGCUAAUACCUUGCAGUUUUGACGUUACCGACAGAAUAAGCACCGGCUAACUUCGUGCCAG